GGGGCUGCGGCUCAGUGGCAGAGCAUCUGCUUUUCAUGUAAAAGGUUCCAGUCUCAGUCCCUGGCAUCUCCA
rnacentral:tRNA from 1 species